rnacentral:rRNA from 1 species
AGCAGCCGCGGUAAUUCCAGCUCCAAUAGCGUAUAUUAAAGUUGCUGCAGUUAAAAAGCUCGUAGUUGAAUUUCGGGAUCAAUACGUCGGUCGUACCUCGGUACGCACUAACGUCAUUGAUUUCUCCCUUCUGACGAACCAUGAUGCCAUUAAUUUGGUGUUAUGGGAAAUCAGGACUGUUACUUUGAAAAAAUUAGAGUGUUUAAAGCAGGCUCACGCUUGAAUACAUUAGCAUGGAAUAAUGAAAUAGGACGUUCGAUCCUAUUUUGUUGGUUUUUUAGGUAUCAACGUAAUGAUUAAUAGGGAUAGUUGGGGGCAUUAGUAUUCAAUUGUCAGAGGUGAAAUUCUUGGAUUUAUUGAAGACUAACUACUGCGAAAGCAUUUGCCAAGGAUGUUUUCAUUAAUCAAGAACGAAAGUUAGGGGAUCGAAGACGAUCAGAUACCGUCGUAGUCUUAACCAUAAACUAUGCCGACUAGGGAUCGGAUGAUGUUAAUUAUUUUAAAUGACUCAUUCGGCGUA